AUUGAACGCUGGCGGCAGGCUUAACACAUGCAAGUCGAACGAGUGGCGGACGGGUGAGUAAUGCUUGGGAAUCUAGCUUAUGGAGGGGGAUAACUACGGGAAACUGUAGCUAAUACCGCGUACCAUAGGAUGAGCCCAAGUGGGAUUAGGUAGUUGGUGAGGUAAAGGCUCACCAAGCCGACGAUCUCUAGCUGGUCUGAGAGGAUGACCAGCCAGACUGGGACUGAGCCACGGCCCAGACGCCUACGGAAGGCAUCAUUGGGGAAUAUUGCGCAAUGGGGUCAACCUUACACAGCCAUGCCGCGUGAAUGAAGAAGGCCUUCGGGUUGUAAAGUACUUUCAGUCGGGAGGCGUUACCGACAGAAUAAGCACCGGCUAACUCCGUGCCAGCAGCCGCGGUAAUAC
rnacentral:rRNA from 1 species